rnacentral:misc_RNA from 1 species
AAGUCGUAACAAGGUCUCCGUAGGUGAACCUGCGGAGGGAUCAUUAACUUGUGAUGAUGAAUUUAUUCAUCUAUCAAACCAAACAAACAAAUCAACCCCGUGAAUUUGAGUAUUCAUUUACUCAUUACCAGCCCCGUAAUUGAACAACGUAACGGAGCAUUCAGUUGCUGACCAGUGGCGUGUCACCGUUUGGAAUGGCUUGCUUAACCGCUUGCCUGGUGUCGUUACCUCGUGUAGUAGAUUCGGACAAAUUUUUACAUUCUAUUAACAUAUUUCACCCAUUCGUACAAUCAUUGACUGAAACGAAAGGUGUUUUUUAACCGAAACGCCCUACCUUCGAAAUUAUUCGAAAUCUAAGCACAACUCUUAGCAACGGAUAUCUUGGUUCUCGUAACGAUGAAAAACGCAGC